GGGCAUGCCUGUUUGAGCGUCGUUUCUCCCUCAAACCGCUGGGUUUGGUGUUGAGCAAUACGACUUGGGUUUGCUUGAAAGACGGUAGUGGUAAGGCGGGAUCGCUUUGACAAUGGCUUAGGUCUAACCAAAAACAUUGCUUGCGGCGGUAACGUCUACCACGUAUAUCUUCAAACUUUGACCCUCAAAUCAGGUAGGACUACCCGCUGAACUUAAGCAUAUCAAUAAGCGGAGGAAAAGAAACCAACAGGGAUUGCCUCAGUAGCGGCGAGUGAAGCGGCAAAAGCUCAAAUUUGAAAUCUGGCGUCUUUGGCGUCCGAGUUGUAAUUUGAAGAAGGUAUCUUUGGGCCCGGCUCUUGUCUAUGUUCCUUGGAACAGGA
rnacentral:rRNA from 1 species